AGUUCCAAGUUACUCACUGGAGCUGACAAGUCACCUCGGGGACCGGGAAGUCACUCAAGUGUCUGGAAAUCUUGGCCCUGGCUGAUUUGUCAUCCUAUGGAUGAUUCAAUUAGUCCCUUAUUUCGCGUGAGUCUUUGGCGUCCACGACCUUGAGUCUGACGGAAAGUCAGUCGGCCUCAAGCAUGAAGCAGGAGUGGUCCCAGGGCUACAGGGCCCUCCCUUCGCUCUCCAACCACGGCUCUCAGAAU
rnacentral:lncRNA from 1 species